UAUCCUAUAUUGGCACUGCACAUGAUUGCUCAAACAAGAAGAACAAAAGCAAAAAUGUGCUAGUGCCAAACUGGGCUA